GGCUCUCCCUGCAUCCCCCCUCUGGGGCUGGCAAUCCCCUCCCUCCAGCUCCAGGGCUGAGCAUCCCUCCUGCCCAAAGUCCCUUCCUCAGGCUGCGGGCAGGCUGCAGGGCAGCAGUUCCCCAGUUCCUCUGCCCGCCGUGCUGCCUGCAGAUCCCCAGCACCGUGCCUGCCUUGGAGGGCAUCCAGCACGCUCACUGCAACCCCAGACAAACAAACAGCAGUUGUGCAAGGGUGCGGGGCAGGCAUCUCCGGCAGGAAACAAAGCGCAGGACUUGCUCUAUUUUAAUCCUGCCAAGGGUCUUCUUGGAAGCGAGGCAGAGCCCGGCUGUGCAGAGUUAAGAAUGAAACCCUAUUUUUAGCCUGUCCCCGGUGAGAACCACAGAGCAUCUGGGGCUGAGUGAGCAACCUCACUGCAAAACCCAACUGGGAGAGAUGGAGCGAGCGCUGCGGGGACUUCGGGAGGCAUGUCUGCAGGUAUCCGAGCACUGCUGCUUUUCAAAGCCAAAGGACUGCUGUUAAUAUUCAUGGGAAGGAAGAUGAAAAGGCACUGGAGGAGGGAGCGCGUGGCGGGGUACCGAGGAAGUCCCAGCAUGUUUUAUCCUGUGCUUGCAGCAGAGAGAGGAAGGCUCGCGGUCCGAGUGCAGCUGCUCUGUGCUAUAGAUUGCACUCCCAGAUUGUCUUCCUGCCAGCUGCCCCCAACGCCAAACCGAAGGCUCCAGUGGGAAGAAGUGCUAAUUUAAGGAGCUCUCUCUGAAGCAAAGGCUCUUCACCCAGGAAGCCCAGCACAGCUCAAAUUAGCUUUGCUGCUGGCAACCUCAGCUGUAAAGCCAUGGUCUGAAACAGAAACACCUCCAGUCGGGAUCUCUCCUCAAUAAAAACUUAAUUUGCUGCUGCUUUGCCAUUCCCUUGCAAUGAUUUCAGAGGCCCCUGUGUAUGGAUCUGUCAAGAAGCAAAAUGCCAAGACAAAUUUAAAAGCAGCUUUAAAAUUACCUUGAAUCUAUACCGUUUGAUUGCUUUGCUGAUAAGAAAAACACUGAAUGAUUCCUAUCAGGAAAUCAAAAAACCAAUCAGAUUUCAGCUGUCUUCUCGGAGAGGCGCAGCGCAUCGGGGUUAGGAGCGAUGCAGCAGAAAUACCCUUCCAGGGGUCUUCCUGGUGACACACUGCAGGGGAGGGUGAGCCGGCCAAGAAUUCUCCUCCAGCUAUUUGUGGGUUUGUGCCACUGCGCUGCAAUAGUCCUCAGCUGCUUCUGUGUAUUUCUAAAGCUUCCCUCAGCUGUGUGUGUGAAAGCUGAGCACGAAACCCACCCAUCGGUUUGGCAUUUGGCUUCACCUGUCUCAGUGCGUCUGUACCACUGGAGCAC
rnacentral:lncRNA from 1 species